rnacentral:rRNA from 1 species
UACGUAGGGUGCGAGCGUUGUCCGGAAUUACUGGGCGUAAAGAGCUCGUAGGCGGUUUGUCGCGUCGUCCGUGAAAACUCGGAGCUUAACUCCGAGCUUGCGGGCGAUACGGGCAGACUUGAGUACUACAGGGGAGACUGGAAUUCCUGGUGUAGCGGUGAAAUGCGCAGAUAUCAGGAGGAACACCGGUGGCGAAGGCGGGUCUCUGGGUAGUAACUGACGCUGAGGAGCGAAAGCAUGGGUAGCGAACAGGAUUAGAAACCCCGGUAGUCC